rnacentral:rRNA from 1 species
GUGUCAGCCGCCGCGGUAAUACAGAGGGUGCGAGCGUUAAUCGGAAUUACUGGGCGUAAAGCGCACGUAGGCGGCUUGGUAUGUCGGGUGUGAAAUCCCCGGGCUCAACCUGGGAACUGCAUCCGAAACUGCCUUGCUCGAGUAUGGGAGAGGGAAGUGGAAUUUCCGGUGUAGCGGUGAAAUGCGUAGAUAUCGGAAGGAACAUCAGUGGCGAAGGCGACUUCCUGGACCAAUACUGACGCUCAGGUGCGAAAGCGUGGGGAGCAAACAGGAUUAGAAACCCCCGUAGUCC